AUUUCAAAAAUUAUAUAAGUAUUUUGGUAAAUAAAUAAAUCCUUCCCUGCAACCCAGAAUCCAUUGUUGAGCAUGAAUUUUGAUACACAUAAGAAGGAAUAUG
ensembl:snoRNA LOC120099515 small nucleolar RNA SNORA40